GAGGGGGCUGUACUUUGAGAUUACAGGCACCCAAAGCUCUUGUGAUGCUGUAAUGACUGCCAGCGCAUGCCCGUCCCAUAUAAUUAAUGUUCUCAUUGCUGCUUCCCUUAGCCUAAGACUCAUGUGCAGUCUCAUCCUAGACCCCUUUAACACAAACACAAGGUUAGUUGCCUAGAGUUUUGUUUUUGCUAGUUUCCCUUCCAAGUGAUUGGUUCCAGGAUCAGAUAAAAUCUACAUCUAAGUCUCCAUAGCUAAGAGUGUAUGCCAGCUGGUUUUUGUCUGACACAGCGUUUCCCUAUGUAGUCCUGGAACUUGCUGUGUAAAGACUAGGCUGGCCUUGAUCAAGAGAACCACCUGCCUCUGCUUCUCUCCUCGUUCGGGUGCCUGUGCCACGCCUAGCUCACUCAGUUAUUAAACACACCAGGCACACUGGUGAGAGGGGUUCCUGGCUCUCCACUUUAUACCGGAGGGAGUUGGAUUCAGGUUUAUAGUGGGCCUAAACAUUUCUAAAAAGUUGUUCUAGGACCACAGAGUACCUCUGUCUUUCCCAGGGAUACCAAACCCACUGGAGACCAGAAUUCUAGGUUUAAUGACUUUAUUAAGCCAACAUUUCUGUAAUAAACAACUACUUAAACAGACUCAUUGCUAUCUUGAUUAUAUCCACAGAUUAGGGAUAUUUUGCUUGAUCAUUUGGUGCCUCAAACAAGCUUUGCCUCAUAAUUAAAUUCAGCUUAUGUUCGGGCCUAUAGUUUGCUGUCAAUGAGACCAGGUCUGGUCUUGACAGGAAAGCCACCAUCAAAAGCUGCAUUUAGAACUUCAUCCAGGCAGCUUGCUGUAACAAAACUUAGAUCCUGUCUGACGUUGCUUGGGAUCUCUUCAAGGUCCUUUUCGUUCCUCUGCGGAAUUAUGAUCUGCUUCAGUCCUGCUCGGUGUGCUGCUAGGACUUUGUCUUUAAUUCCACCCACCUGCCAGGCAAAAGAAGACAACUCUCAAGGUUCAUGUUCACUGCCGAGCGCAUCUACCUUUUACUGAACCAUCACUGACUUAGACAUUCAGCCCACCUCCCACCUUGGGAUAGUAUGAGCUGGGAGGCCACUGAAAAGCUUAAUGGUAACCUAUAUUAAAACCUUUUAAGGAGAGAACCUGUAACCUCGAUGGCUAUGGAUAGUUUUAAUUGUCAUUUGCAGCCUUGUGUUUAGGUUGAUUGUGCUUGGUUCUACUAUUCCUAGCUAGAAGAAAGAAGUCUGAAGAUUUUACCAUAAAGAAAUGACAAAUGGAGGAAAUAUACAUGCUGAUUUAAAUGUUAUGCAAUGUGUACAUGCAUUGAACAUCAUGCUAUCUCAAUACAUACCAUUUUUGUUUUUACAAAAUAAAGAUUUUUAAGUUAACCAAACAGAACUGCUCUUACACAGGAAGCUCAGUGUGUUCCAGGAUUAUUGUCUUCAUUACCACAAAGCAAGGCUUUUGUGCCACCUAAAAAUGAGAACACUCCAAACUAGACUCUUGUAAGGUAUUUGUUUUUGUUUUGUGACACAAUCAUUGUAGAUUGGCUCGGCCUUGAACUCCUAGAGAUCUGUCUUUCUCUGUUCCCUGCCCCCAAUGCUGUGAUUAAAGGCACAUGCCACUAGUCCUCGCCCCUCUUGUGGCUAUAAAUAAAU
rnacentral:lncRNA from 1 species